AAUUUUUCUCUUUAAACCCAGCAGCCACUGACAACGACCGCACAUGACAUCACUCUACUAACCCGUUAAAACUAACCUGCUAAGGAUGACAAGGCCACCUUUGACGAAGAUAGGUCCUCCUAUCGAAACGUUUGCCCGCCUUUCUGAGGCACCUUAUCCCUGUCCAUAACCUUUAUACCACAUGUGCUACUCAAUCUGUCAACCACCUUCUUGAUUUUGUAUUAU
rnacentral:lncRNA from 1 species